rnacentral:rRNA from 1 species
AACGCGAAGAACCUUACCUGGGCUUGAACCGUCGGUAGUAAAAGCUAUGAAAGUAGCGAUGACCCGUAAAGCCGGAUGCCGAUAGAGGUGCUGCAUGGCUGUCGUCAGCUCGUGUCGUGAGAUGUUGGGUUAAGUCCCGCAACGAGCGCAACCCUUACUCUAUGUUGCUACGUCCGUAAAGGACAGCACUCUUAGAGAACUGCCUCGGAUAACGGGGAGGAAGGUGGGGAUGACGUCAAGUCACCAUGGCCUUUAUGUCCAGGGCUACACACGUGCUACAAUGGUCGGUACAGCGAGCAGCGACUCCGCAAGGAUGAGCAAAUCUCUAAAAGCCGGCCCCAGUUCAGAUCGUGGGCUGCAAUUCGCCCACGUGAAGGUGGAAUCGCUAGUAAUCGGGGAUCAGCUGGCCCCGGUGAAUACGUUCCCGGGCCUUGUACACACCGAGUAUA